rnacentral:rRNA from 1 species
CCUACGGGAGGCUGCAGUGAGGAAUAUUGGUCAAUGGACGAGAGUCUGAACCAGCCAAGUAGCGUGAAGGAUGACUGCCCUAUGGGUUGUAAACUUCUUUUAUAUGGGAAUAAAAUGUUCCACGUGUGGGAUUUUGUAUGUACCAUAUGAAUAAGGAUCGGCUAACUCCGUGCCAGCAGCCGCGGUAAUACGGAGGAUCCGAGCGUUAUCCGGAUUUAUUGGGUUUACAGGGAGCGUAGGUGGAUUGUUAAGUCAGUUGUGAAAGUUUGCGGCUAAACCGUAAAAUUGCAGUUGAAACUGGCAGUCUGGAGUACAGUAGAGGUGGGCGGAAUUCGUGGUGUAGCGGUGAAAUGCUUAGAUAUCACGAAGAACUCCGAUUGCGAAGGCAGCUCACUGGACUGCAACUGACACUGAGGCUCGAAAGUGUGGGUAUCAAACAGGAUUAGAUACCCUAGUAGUC